rnacentral:lncRNA from 1 species
UGUGUGUGUGUGUGUGUGUGUGUGUGUCUAGGAAAGAGGCUCCAACAGGAAGAGGGAUUUGGAACAAGGCUUUAUGCAGAUAAAACCAACUACAGAGCUGGGCCACUUUUCAGGGAGCUUGGGAUUUUUCUUAUAUAGAAGACAAUUCCAGAUGGAAACAUAAGCCUUUUCUUGACUCAGCUGUUGCUCUCCUUACAGGGGCCUCAGAGUCUGAUCACCCAGCACAGAGACUUCUCAGGACGUGCCACAUCAAGGGUCCAAGAUUCCCUGGAAGGACCUCUCUGAGCCCAGCUGGGUGCCUGUGGGGGCUGGUCCAGGUAGAGGAGUCCAGCAUCCAAGCAGAACCAGGCGGCAUGCAGCCCCAGGAGAUCAGAGCCAGAGAAGGGGAGGAGGAGCCUGAAUUGCAGGCAAGUAAAGAAGCAAAUUGAGGGGUUAUGGG